UACUGAUGCAGUCAGAAACUCUCCAACCUCUUUGCAACCUGCAGCUUUGGCUUUUUUAUCCAGCGCCCAGCAAAGUAACUUUAAAAAAUAAAAGGACCAAUAUUUCAGUGUAAAAAUGCUCAGCAGGUGAUCAGAAAUGACGUCAUAACAGGAAACCAGAAUAAUCCAGGAGAUCAUUUCCAUGGAUGGAAAGAAUGAGAUCAAUAAGUUAUUGAUUUCCAGUAUUGAUCAAGAAGAAAGCUGAAAGAAACCAAAUGUGUUGAUCACUCAGAACAAAGAAAUGCAGCUUUAAUAGUUUGGAUCAAUGAAAGAUUGAUGCUCAGUUCUCUUCACAUCAUGUUGAAGCCGUUUGGAAAGAAAAGUGGGCUCAGAGUCGGCAGAAGAAAAGGCCAAAUAUUGAUGAAGCAGGAAGAGCAGUUUGGGAUCAGAUCCAGAUCAGAUGUUUGUGUGUCUCGGUGUUCUGGACUGAUGUUGAACAUGUGGAGCUGAGAUUCAUUUACAGAACAGAGAUGAAAACAUUUGAAAGCUUCUUCUCUUCAAAGUUCAGCUUUAGAUCCAGAAAUGUAAAAGUCCAGCAGCUCAACACUGACAGGAGACAUUACUGUGAAGCAGCACAUGGACAAAACAAUCCCAGCAGCAUCAAGACUCUGAUCAUCUCCAACAGCUUCCUGUGUUUCUGUCCCCUGUUAGCUGCUGCUCUCAUCUGCUUCUGUCAAUAAAGUUAUUCAAACUGCUGCUGCUGUCUGUGCAGCUCAUGUUCUGCUUUGUUGUCCUCUCAGUCUGUCAGGUGGAGGUGGAGGAGGGGGCGGAGUCUGUCCUGCUGCCCUGCAAGACCACAGACAACCUGCCUGAGGACGCUAAGUGUGGUGGAUCCACUAUGAUCCCUAUAAGACGGUCCACAUGUAUCAGAACGGCUCUGACCAACAGGACCAGGUUUACAGAGACCGAACAGAGAUGAAGGAAGACCUGCUGAGAACUGGAGACCUCAGUCUGACCCUGAAAUCCCCCACAGACAGAGACGGAGGACGAUACUGGUGUGUCUAGAAGAAGGAGACCUCAUGAGAGGAAAUCAGUUGUUCUCAGGGUCAAAGAGAGAAGCAGGAACAGAAGCAGCUCCGCUGAUCCAACUCCUCUGAUGGCCGAUCAAUCUGUUUGAUCUUUGAUCAUUGAUCCGAUCUGACUCUGGAUCAGAGAGAAAAUGGAGGUGAAGCAGCUGAUGGAGGACGGAUGAAGACAGGAGGACGCUUUGUCAGCUUCUUCUUCACUCUGACUCCUCCUACUGACUCUCACACACAGUCUACACACUCACUAUUGAUUCCUGCUGAUCAGUGAUGUCAGAGUGAGGUCAGCGUGAUGUCACAUGGCUUGAACGGGCGUGUUUCCUGUGAACCUCCCAGCGGCUGGAUAACAGCUGCGGCUCUCUGGAUAUUUGUGGCUCGUUCUAAUGCGUGCAGUCAAACAAACUUUAUUUCUACAGACACAGAGAAGUCAGCAGCUGCAGGAAAUCAGAACCACUGACAGGAAGUUAAGAGUCAAGUUAAACCACAUGUCAGAACUUUCUACAGCAGCAGGAUUUAGAAGAUGCUGGAAGCUGCUGUCUUUAGAUUUUGGACCCGUCACAAUUUGUCACAUUUUCUGAAGCCACAACAAAUCUUGUUGAAAGGAAACAGUUGAUUGAAGGUCCAGUUUCAAACGAAGAGUCAAAGCUUCUCUUUGUGUCGACUCCUUUAAUGAGAACAUUGAAAAGGACUCGAGUCCAAGUCUCAAGUGUCCAGCUCAGAUUAUUCCAGCACCAACCCUGGCAGGAUGCAAGUUAAACAGAAAGCAACACAUUUAGUGACAGAACAGAAAGCAGCCAGCUGUUAAAAUGGACUCAGAGAAUGAAGACACAAUAAGAUUUGAUUCAGUCAGACUUUCACAAGAACAAAGGUUUGUUCAGCCUGAACACAAAUGUGGUCUGUAGUGUUUUUGUAGUCCCUGUUUAUUCAGCGCCUCUUCCUCCUCACUACACACUGGAUCAAAGCACAGCAGUUAAACCCAGAGGCCUCCAGUGGACCUGGUUCAGGCCUCUGAAACAUCUGGACUCUGUGAUCUUUGUCUUCCAGCGUUGACAUUUGGAGCAGGUAUAAACAGACGUCACGUGAUCUAGUUUGUUUGAAGCGUACCGAGUCCUUCAGACGUUGAUCUCAGAACUCAGCAGAAACUCCACUUCUUUAGUCUCUUUCCUCCAGGUUCUGGUUUUUCUCGUCUCUCUGUUCAUUCCUCAAAGAUAAAGCUGGAUUUUUCAUUGAAGCUGAAACAUUUCAGUAAAUAUGCCAGAUUUAGCCAGAAGGCUGUUUUUCAUCUGUAGUCAGUACAAGUCAACACAAAACAGACAACAUAGUAAAACCAACCCAGGGACCAGUAGACUCCAGCACAAUAUACUAGCAGUCAUUAUGUUCCAGUACACAGGUCAUGAACUGUUACCAGAGGAAAUCAGAAGCUUACAGUAAUCUGUUGGACUCAAAGAUGUUAUGUUAUUAAAGUGCUGUUUAUGCACUCAGAUCUAAUUCAAUAAUCUGGUUUCCUGCAGCGGUUUGAAGCCAAAAUAAACAUUUUGCAAAAUGAUGCUGAUUUGUUGAACAUAUGAAUUCCUGCUCUGUCAGGUCUGUCUUCAAGAUGACAAGCAAACAUCUUUUAAAACGCUUGUUUUCUAAAUGGAGUUCUGCUCAGUCAGGGCGAUGCUAUGCUAACUUGUUUCAAGUAUGACGACGGCUGGAAUCAUCACAGAUUCAUUUUCAGACCUCACCAGGUAGUUCAGCUUCCCGCCUCUCUUUUCUCCCAGCAUCCUCCUGUCUCGUCUGUAGAAAUAUGAACUAGUGGUCCACGCGGUCCUUGUGGUCCGGACCGGUUGCCGAGGGGUCCGUUGCUGGUCCAAAGCCACUGCACACCUCCUCUGUAUAAUAAAAGCUUUAUUUGUAGAGCACUUUUCAACACGGGGAACAAAGAGCUUUAAAACAAUCCAUCUGUCAAUAAAGGAAAAUAAAUGAGGCGUCACACAGUGAAAGCUUUUUGUAGAAAUGUGUCUAAGAAGUGAGAUGAAACCAGGAGCAGACUCUGAGCCUGUAGGGGCCCUGACAGCAGAGACCCUGUCCCCUUUGGCUUUGAGCCUAGACUUUGGAGCAGUUAGCAGAGCCCUACUAGAGGAUCUCAGUCUGCGUCCUGGCUCAUAUGGGGAUAAAAGCUCAGAGAAGGUGCGUGCCCAUGUCUGGCCUUAAAAGUGAUCAGAAGGAUUUUAAAGUGCGUCCUAAAAGAAACAGGAAGCAGGACGCUCACACUGGGCUGAUGUGCUCACAUUUCCUGCAGCGAGCGGCAGCAUUUUGGACCAACUGUAGGUGAUGAACUGAUUUCUGACUCAGACAGGUAUAUAGGGAGGAUAUCGGUCUGCGGCUGAAAUGAAAGACUUCACCUCGGCCGCAUUUCUCAAAUGAUAAAAACAGAACAAGCUUACAUGAGGUUCAAAACACAAGUCCUAGUUUCUGGCCGAGCUUCUUGUUCGCUUGGGUUUGUCCUGAUUUCAGAAAGGAACGAACAUCACAGAGGAAGACGCAGAGAUGUUGAUCCUCACAGGAUGCAGAAGAGGUCUUGAACUCUGGCCAAAACCUGGACCAAGAUGAUAUGGGCACCCAUUUUAAGCUCUUUCUAGGCUUGUUGUAUAUUUCAUAAUGGCAUAUUGCAUCUUUGUCCAACAAAUGGGGCGUUCUGGUAUUUUGAAGGAUGAACAGGAGGUCCAUACUUCACAAAACUGCCUGGAGAGACCUAAUACAAUGGCGAGGGAUGAUUUACAUGAGUGGCGUGCACUUCACAAGACAAGAUGAGGAAUACAUACAAAGUCUGCAAACUGAGCAGGAAAGGGACACUCUGGUUCCUGAAGAGACCCCUCCUCAAAACAUCUGAUCUGGGUCCUCUGAUACCACUGCUGGCUUCCUGGAUUUGAGUCAUGUCAAAGACACUACCGAACCAGAUCUGAAACCUUACUGACAACUCUGGCAUCAAAAGUCUGGAUUGGAGAGACGCCCAGCAGUAAUAUGAUCAAUGUAUGCAGAGAAAACAUAAUGGAUGGUGCCAUGCGAGCCUUUACAAGAAGGAGUUUCAAUCCAGAGGCCAAAUUAAGCGUCAUAUUUAUGGAUGACUUCAUGCAAGCAGAAGGUUCAGUGGAUGAGGGGGGCCCUACACGGGGGUUUUUCCGACUGCUCUCAAAGAUAGCAGCCUAUUUACAGGGCCACAGUAAGAACCUGUCCCUGGACAGCCACGCAUUACACAGAGGUCUCUACAGAACCUAUGGAGUUAUGAUGGCUGUGGUGCUGCUGCAUGGAGGAGUGUUGCCUUCUCUUUCCGGAGAGGCUCUACCAAAACCUCUGCUCUACACCCACAUUACCACCCGCUCUCAAAGAGGUAGCAGAUCCAGAUUUGACUUAUGUUUUGAGGAAAAUGCUUGGACUUUCUGAAGGACUGAACACACUUGGUCUCCUGGACCUGAUGAAAAUUCACGCCAGCAUCUUGAAGGAGGUGUUUUCUUCAUCUGAGAGGCCUCUAAAGGCCACAGACUUGAUCUCCCUGUUCCAAGUGACAGUGUCCCCUCCUGGAAGCAACCGGUGGCGCCUGGAGAAGAGAGUGGAAGGAUGGUGUGUUUGAGGUCACAAUGGAGCAAAUUUUGGUGUUUGCCUCUGGAGCCGACAGAGUACCCGCUCUUGGUUUUUCUCCUCACCCAACGCUGAACUUCAUUCACGACGCAGGGCGGAAGUACCCUGAAGCUAACACCUGUCUUGUAAAUUUGAAACUUCCUAUCCAUGACACUUACAGACAGUUCGCCAAGUUUAUGUGCGAUGGCAUUAUUCACGCUCCCACUUCUGGUCUGGCUUAAAGUCACUGACAGCUAUUUUCAUAAUGGCUGAACUUUGAAUGUCCUGCCUGCUAACGUUGUUCUCAGGUGAUGAUGUUAAGAUGAUUUGAGGUAAUUGUCUACUUAGGUCUGUAGUUGAUGACCAGUGUGACACGUCCUAAUUAAAAGCUCUGAAUAAUCAACCAAAGUAGAUGAGGUUUGUUACAGAACUUGAGCAAUGCUGUUUGAAAGUGCAUCUCUACUAAGAAACUGCAGCCACGUCUCCCUAUGCUGCCAGCAAGCUAACUGCCAGGUUGUAGGCCUGGUAUUGUAGGAAAUUGGAGAUAUUUUCCACGCAGCUAAGUAAAUAACUAUUAAACAUUUAUCACUAACUACGUUUUGUAAUGUCACAUGUUUAAGUUUAACGUUUCAGCGGACAGCUUUAGGACUGUAACACAUUGGUGACUGAGUUUCCUGCCAUUAACGUUAUGACUUUUAAUUAUUAUUUUUAGUUAACGUUAUACCGGGAAGCGGAUUUUUAUUACUUGGUAGAAACCAUCGACUGUAGAGUCCCAAUUAAAGACAGGGCAACAUUUACUGUUAAUACCAUGAAACUGAGUGCCAGAUUCCCCAACCGGCCAACCCCUUUUUCUUUCAACCUCUCUGGCAUGCUCCCAUUCGAUACUGAUAUAACGUUACAUUUUAAUUAUUUUUAGGCGAUGGAACAUUAACCUUACUGACUGUGUUUUUAAAUAAUUGGCAUCUGUGCUGGAGGGGUUUCCUGACUGCUAACUGUUAGCUGUGGUGGUGGGAGGCGGCUGGUCCGGUUUGAAACGGAUCGCUGGAAUGUAUUUCCCCCCCACCCCUUCAUAAGUCAACGUGUCGUGGAAAAACAUGUUAAGAGGGACAUUGUAUGAAGGGGACAUGAACAGGACGGGCAGCUUGUCUAGGAAGUUAGUAAAUGCAGUAGCAGUUCUGACAUUAAUAAUGGAAGAGAAACUGCAGAAGUCCCAAUGAUGCGAAACUAUGAAACUGUAGUAACUUAAAACUAACUAGUUUUAAUCUGGAGGUCACACGCACCCCCCCACCCAUUCUGUAAAAUCUCUUGCACCCAAUAUCGGUCUAAUAACAACCGUGGCUCGCGCCCUGUUGGCCUCGCCAUAUCAGAUAUUUGUCCAAGGACGUCUUCAGAGGCAAACACAACCGCUCACAGCCAUGGCAGAGAUUUUUGGAUCCGACACUGCUCAACAAGGGGCUGCGGCUGCAGUUCCUGUUCUGAAUCGGCAAGAAAGAGUAAAAGUUCCUGCUAACCGAUUCGGUCCAAGCCGUGCACAGACGCGACAAGUCCAGGAUGUGGACACUCUGGCGGGACCGAUUGGUAGUCUAGCCAUAGAUAAUGUUUUGGCCAUGCCUCUGUACUGUUCCCUUGUUGUUUCCCAGUCAGUCUCUCCGUGUCAGCUAGAGGAGAUACCGGUAGACCAGACCGCUCACCUGCUGUGGAGGGGGGAGUAAUUGACCAGUUCAGCUUCAGUCUUCUUUACCCUCCUCUUGGCUCUCUUCUCCGCCUUGCAUACACCCAUUUAUAAUAACAGUGGCAUUUAUGCUCUUACAAUCCCAACUGUUCUUCUUUUUGAUGACAGUAUAUUUCUCUCUGUGUCUCAGGAUUAUACAACAGUUUCUUGCCAGUCUCUUUGCCAACUCUGGAUUCCCUAGCUUACCUCCCCUCUCAAGGACGGUAUCCUGCACUCUAAUCCAGGGGAUAAUGAAUCCCUGAGGAAUGAGAGGGUUAGAUGCCGUGAUAACACAGUUACUGGGUCAGUUGCAGAACACAGGCCCUCCUCCAGCUGAUAGAGAAGAUCUCUCCUCUCCCAUCUGUCAGUAUGAAAUGUGAAUGGCUGCAAGACAAAAUGGAUAAACUGACAGCACGUGUGUCUGAUUGCAGGUUUAGAGACAAAACUUUCCAUUUCAGUGUUCAGAAGUCUGCAGCCCAGGGGAGAUGUUUGCUGGCGCUUACUGCCUUCACUUUCCAGCAAACUGCUGUGUGCAGUGUCCAGUGCACAGAGAGAACUUCGCAGUGGGAGAGCCAUUCAGACAGCUGCCCUGUAACCACUUCUUUCAUUCAGAAUGGAUAGUACCAUGGCUGGAACUGAGGAGGUGUGCAGUGGCUUUGGACCAGCAACGGACCCCUCGGCAACCGGUCCGGACCACAAGGACCGCGUGGACCACUAGUUCAUAUUUCUACAGACGAGACAGGAGGAUGCUGGGAGAAAAGAGAGGCGGGAAGCUGAACUACCUGGUGAGGUCUGAAAAUGAAUCUGUGUCUGAUAGAUGAUUCCAGCCGUCGUCGUACUUGAAACAAGUUAGCAUAGCAUCGCCCUGACUGAGCAGAACUCCAUUUAGAAAACAAGCGUUUUAAAAGAUGUUUGCUUGUCAUCUUGAAGACAGACCUGACAGAGCAGGAAUUCAUAUGUUCAACAAAUCAGCAUCAUUUUGAUCAGUUUAUUGAAAUGAAAUCACAGCAAAAUGUUUAUUUUGGCUUCAAACCGCUGCAGGAAACCAGAUUAUUGAAUUAGAUCUGAGUGCAUAAACAGCACUUUAAUAACAUAACAUCUUUGAGUCCAACAGAUUACUGUAAGCUUCUGAUUUCCUCUGGUAACAGUUCAUGACCUGUGUACUGGAACAUAAUGACUGCUAGUAUAUUGUGCUGGAGUC